rnacentral:lncRNA from 1 species
AGCUGAAUUAAUAUAAAUAUGAAGCAGAUUCUGGGUAAAGUAGGAACUGGGGACCCCACAGACCGCAGCUCCUUCCACGCAGGAGACCCGCACAACCAGUCGGAGUCUUUCCCUGAUGACCUCACAACCUGGGGAAGAUGACGGGCUGCGGGCGCAGAGCUGCGCAAAGAGGGCUACAGGCUGGGGCUAAAGCCGCUGUGCUGAAACGGUAAAGGACGCCCCGGGGUCCCUGCACCGGAGGAGAGUGAGGGCUGAGCUGCGGGGCACUCAGGCUCACAAGACCGUCCCGCCACCGCCAUUUCUGGCGCGUCCCAAAGAGGCCUCCCCCGUCUCCAAACGCCCUGCCCCGCACACUCACCUUUUCUCGGCUUCAGGAAUGUCCUGGAGUCUAUGAAUCUUCCAGCACCAUCAGUUCACCGCGUGAUGGAGGCUGAGGCUGUGGCCGAAUCACCGAGACCCUUGGAAAGAAGACACAGGGCAGUGAAGAGCUAACCUCGAGCUCUGGCUGGAGCAAGAGACAAAGGCCCCGCCAGGUACCGGGAGCCACCCCUUCCUCUCUGACUGUGAACCUGAUUGGACAGUUCCCACCCCAGCGCCCUUAAUGGAUAGAGCUCCAGGCUCCGCGCCCUCAGGCCUUGAGUGACAGAAGACGCGAUCAGACCUUGCACUGAAUACCGCGAGCGUGACAGGCUCUUGGCUCCAGUCAUUUCAGGAAGGGCUAUCUCUGGGUUGGGCCCACAUGUGCCCAGGGGUUAUUUUAAAUCUUGUGUAUAAGGUUAUGUCCAUUUAUAAAUUUUAUUCAUACACACAUAUAUGUUGUUCACAAAUGGAAACACUAUAAUAACAAUUAUUUUAAAAUUUAACAUUUCAUAAGCUUUCUGGCCUUUAGUCUUUUGAGUAGGCAACCUGGGAUUUUAAAAGAAAAACAGGGCCGGGAGUGGUGGCACCAAGAAGAAAAAAAGUUUAUAGAAUCUCAAAAAGAAAUAAGAAAAAGGCGGGGCAUGGUGGCUCACGCCUGUAAUUCCGGCACUUUGGGAGACCGAGGCGGGC